UACGUAUGGUGCAAGCGUUAUCCGGAUUUACUGGGUGUAAAGGGAGCGUAGGCGGCAUGGCAAGUCAGAUGUGAAAGCCCGGGGCCCAACCCCGGAACUGCAUUUGAAACUGUCAGGCUAGAGUACCGGAGAGGUAAGCGGAAUUCCUAGUGUAGCGGUGAAAUGCGUAGAUAUUAGGAGGAACACCAGUGGCGAAGGCGGCUUACUGGACGGUAACUGACGCUGAGGCUCGAAAGCGUGGGGAG
rnacentral:rRNA from 1 species